rnacentral:pre_miRNA from 1 species
UUAACUUAAAUUUGUAUGCAGUUGGAACAGCGCCCCUAGCGGCAAACGUAGCCGAACGUUCCAACUCUACAAAUUUGAGUUA